AGAGUUUGAUCCUGGCUCAGAUUGAACGCUGGCGGCACGCCUUACACAUGCAAGUCGAACGGUAACAGGUCUUCGGAUGCUGACGAGUGGCGAACGGGUGAGUAAUACAUCGGAACGUGCCCGAGAGUGGGGGAUAACGAAGCGAAAGCUUUGCUAAUACCGCAUACGAUCUCAGGAUGAAAGCAGGGGACCGCAAGGCCUUGCGCUCACGGAGCGGCCGAUGGCAGAUUAGGUAGUUGGUGGGAUAAAAGCUUACCAAGCCGACGAUCUGUAGCUGGUCUGAGAGGACGACCAGCCACACUGGGACUGAGACACGGCCCAGACUCCUACGGGAGGCAGCAGUGGGGAAUUUUGGACAAUGGGCGCAAGCCUGAUCCAGCCAUGCCGCGUGCAGGAUGAAGGCCUUCGGGUUGUAAACUGCUUUUGUACGGAACGAAAAGACACUGGUUAAUACCUGGGGUCCAUGACGGUACCGUAAGAAUAAGCACCGGCUAACUACGUGCCAGCAGCCGCGGUAAUACAUAGGGUGCGAGCGUUAAUCGGAAUUACUGGGCGUAAAGCGUGCGCAGGCGGUUAUAUAAGACAGAUGUGAAAUCCCCGGGCUCAACCUGGGAACUGCAUUUGUGACUGUAUAGCUAGAGUACGGCA
rnacentral:rRNA from 1 species